rnacentral:rRNA from 1 species
UACGUAGGGGGCGAGCGUUGUCCGGAGUUACUGGGCGUAAAGGGCACGCAGGCGGUGCGGCGCGUUUCGCGUGACAGCGGGUGGCUUAACUGCCUGAGGAUGCGAAAGACGGCCACACUGGAGGGCCAGAGAGGGACACGGAAUUCCGGGUGGAGUGGUGAAAUGCGUAGAGAUCCGGAGGAACACCGAAGGCGAAGGCAGUGUCCUGGCUGGUUCCUGACGCUGAGGUGCGAAAGCCAGGGGAGCGAACGGG